ACUUAAAUUGAAGAGUUUGAUCAUGGCUCAGAUUGAACGCUGGCGGCAGGCCUAACACAUGCAAGUCGAGCGGUAGCACAGAGAGCUUGCUCUCGGGUGACGAGCGGCGGACGGGUGAGUAAUGUCUGGGAAACUGCCUGAUGGAGGGGGAUAACUACUGGAAACGGUAGCUAAUACCGCAUAACGUCGCAAGACCAAAGUGGGGGACCUUCGGGCCUCAUGCCAUCAGAUGUGCCCAGAUGGGAUUAGCUAGUAGGUGGGGUAACGGCUCACCUAGGCGACGAUCC
rnacentral:rRNA from 1 species